rnacentral:rRNA from 1 species
UACGAGGGGGGCAAAUGUUGUUCGGAAUCACUGGGCGUAAAGGGAGCGUAGGCGGGUUUUUAAGUCAGGUGUUUAAUCCCGGGGCCCAACCCCGGACAGGCACUUGAAACUGGGAAUCUUGAAUAGUGGAGAGGUCAGUGGAAUUGGGGGUGUAGCGGUGGAAUGCGUAGAGAUCCCCAAGAACACCCGUUGCGAAGGCGGCUCACUGGCCCGAUACUGACGCUGAGGCACGAAAGCGUGGGGAGCAAACAGG